rnacentral:lncRNA from 1 species
GUCGUUUUGCAGUUUUGCCUCUGCUCUUCGUCACUCGUCACUCGCCACUCGCCACUCGCCACUCGCCACUCGCCACUCGCCACUCGUCUCUGCUUCUCCUCACUUCUGAAUUAGGGUUCCAAUUCUAUUUUAUUUUUAAUUUUGUUGAUUCUUUGAUAUUUGAAAUGCAAAUUUAUUGAUUCUUUGGUACUGAUUUCUACUUCUUGUUGAU